rnacentral:rRNA from 1 species
UGGCUACCACAUCUAAGGAGGGCAGCAGGCGCGUAAAUUACCCAAUCCUAAUUCAGGGAGGUAGUGACAAGAAAUAACAACUCGGACCUCACACGAGGUUACGGGAUUGCAAUGAGAACAAUUUAAACCACUUAUCGAGCAACAAUUGGAGGGCAAGUCUGGUGCCAGCAGCCGCGGUAAUUCCAGCUCCAAUAGCGUAUAUUAAAGUUGUUGCAGUUAAAAAGCUCGUAGUUGAAUUUCUGGCGAGCGCUGUUCUUGGCUCUCUGAGUCGGCUCAGUGUUUCGUCAUCCGUAUGGGAAGCUAGCUCGGCCUUCACUGGUCGGCUAGUGGAUCAUACACUUUACUUUGAAAAAAUUAGAGUGUUUCAGGCAGGCAAUUGCUUGGAUACCUCAGCAUGGAAUAAUGGAAUAGGACUUUGAUCUAUUUGUUGGUUUCUCGAGAUCAAAGUAAUGAUUAAUAGGGAUAGUUGGGGGCAUUCGUAUUUAAUUGUCAGAGGUGAAAUUCUUGGAUUUAUUAAAGACGAACUUAUGCGAAAGCAUUUGCCAAGGAUGUUUUC